AGGUACUUGUUUACUCACCAUAUUUUAACAACAACGGGUCGCCGUACUUACAAAUGUCGUAAAUUUGACAAGUUGUGUAAAUGAAUAGUUUUGUAUUUAAAACUAUAUAUAAGAGUAAAACAUUACAUAUAAAACUAAUAUUUAUGGGUUUUUAUGUUCUAAUAUUUAUAAUUUAUCGAAAAUAUACGGUUUACGACAUAUUCCGCAUCAGCGCGGUAAAUGUAAACAAUGGCGUCUGACAUCGUCAAUGUAGCAUGGCAAACUAGAAAAAAACAAGGUUUUUCAAAGAAAACAUCGCAAUACAGAAAAAAUUCUAACUUGUCAAGAAUGGUUGGGUAGAAAUUUGGAUUAAUUUAAACCAUAACUAUGACGUGAAUCGAUCUACCGGGGGUGAGACUGGACAUGAUGAUGAUGACAACGUACCAGAACCUACAUGUAGAGACGUUCCCGUCUCCUUCAACAUUGAACUACAGAAAAGUCGAGAUAUGACACUGCAUUGAGUAAAGGGAGAAGCUGGUAGAACUAGGGGUCUUAGCAGAUGGCUACUCAUGCAGGUUGUGGAGUUUGUGGCAUUCCUCUCCAUCUUUCUUAUACCAUGGGGAUAUAAACUUCUGGUUUAAAUUGGUAUUAUUCCUGAAAGUUCAGUGUCAGAAUACAACAUGUCAACACAUAAAUAAAAUAGCUACUGGAAAGCACCAUGGAAAGAUAUGGAAUGCAAAUACCAAGCUUACCUGACACAGGACAGGAAUGGUGCAUACAGGCAUGGGGCCUUCUCAGGUGAAUACACUUUUAACAUCAUUAAAUAUCCCCCCAGUCAGUUCUUGGACUCUGCAAAACAGACAACAUGAAACAGGACCAGUUCUGGAGAAAACUGCAGAAGAAAGUACCAGAAGCAGCCUUCAUGAUGAAAUUCAGGCAACUGUAAGUAUGAUUAAAGGUACAGUCGAGCUAACAGUCAGUGUUGAUGCAGGUUGGCAGAAACCAGGCAGUGGGCCAUCCUUUGACAGCCUCUCUGGUCAUUGCUCCAUGAUUGAAUCUCAGACAGGCAAAGUCAUGAAUUCAGAACAAAAUGUUGCACAAUUUUUGAAAAUGCUACUACAAAUGGAAAAGACCUCAAAGAUCAUGACUGCAGAAAAAACUCUAAUCACCAUGACAGGAAAGUCAACCUGUUUCAAUUUCAAGUGCACUUGGUUCUUUUUUAAGCUUUAUGGAAAGGAAGGAAUCUAUUUUUAGUUGGCCACAAUAUCAAAGGUUUUGAUUUUCAUGUUCUUUUUCAUACUCUAGAUUCUUGUUCACUGUUUUAUCAAGUGUCAAAUGUGUACAAGGUUGUUUUUUUUUUUGAGAUAUUAUCAGAUUUCUAUUCAAACUUGUCCAUCCCAGUUUGUGUUCAUAUAACCGGUAAUAUUUAUCAGAAGUGUUACUAAAAUGUACUUACAAUGCACAUGAUACUGUAGAAGAUGUUUCAGCUUUGAAAAGUUCAUAUGACACUGUUCAUUUUUGUGAUGAUGAACAUUCAUCUUGUACAUUUACAUUUCAGUAUGCUUUGAGUGUCCAUACAUGUAACUACCAGAAAGUUGUAGAUAAAAACAUACCAUUCUUUCAAUGUUUGAUUAAUAAAAAUCUUCCGAGUGUCAGAAUGGCAAGGAAGGUAACCAGUAGUGGCCUAAACUUUGAUUGUCUCAGAAAGGCACAAUCUAGAAGUUCUGAUAGGUUUAAUAAUGAUAAAAUGUUAUGAAACAGAGGAAAUUCAGGUUAUUUGUAACAAAAUAUCUCAAAAUUUUAAUCAAUUGACAUCCACUUUAUGUUUCAUUUUUGUUUCCUUUAGAAUGCUUUCUAUAUGUAUAAAUCAACCGAUAAGAGUUUUCAUCAGUCACAUUUUUAGAAUAUUUGAAUGAAAAAAGGUUCAUUUUUAUGCAUUAAAAUGUUAUGAAACAGAGGAAAUUCAGGUUAUUGGUAACAAAAUAUCUCAAAAUUUUGAUCAUUGACACCCAGUUUAUGUUUCAUUUUUAUAUCUUAUAGGGUACUUUCAAAAUGUAUAAAUCAACCAAUAACAGUUAUCAUCAGUCAAAUUUUUAGAAUAUUUGAAUAA